AAUAUAGAAGUAGGAUUUUAUUAAUUUAUAAUGAACGCAAGCAAGGUCCUCGACUUGUUAUUCAGUAUAAAUAUUGGCCGAAGAGAUUUUUUGUUCAAACUAUUCUCGUUCUUUGAGAGCUACGCACUUUCUUUCACUAUUCGCCAUGUCUUUCAAGGUGUGCUUGUACUUCGCUUUGGUCCUUUUAAUUGGCGUAGCAAUGGCGAUCCCAGUUGCUGAACCUGGUCAUUACGGACAUGGUCACGGCCACUAUGAUCAUCAUAGUCAUGGAUACGGUCAUGGGCACGGUCAUGGAUAUGGACAUGGAUACGGUCAUGGACAUGGAUACGGUGGGCACGGACAUGGGUAUGGUCACGGUCACGGAUACGGACAUCAUUAGGCCGUUUGACAACUUAAUGUAGUUAAGCAAUGUAAAUAAUGUUAAUAUUAAUCAAAUCAAACUACUGUGUGAAGAGAUUAGCUUCAAACAAAUUUAACUUGUUUGUUUCACGUAUAAAUAAAUAAUAAUGUACUUAAGCAAUAUUAGAAACGAUAUUUGCCUCA